AGGAAGCUGACGGAACUCUUCGGAGGGAAGGCAGUGGAAUGAGCGGCGGACGGGUGAGUAACACGUAAGGAACCUGCCUCAAGGAUUGGGAUAACUCCGAGAAAUCGGAGCUAAUACCGGAUAGUUCAACGGACCGCAUGGUCCGCUGAUGAAAGGCGCUUCGGCGUCACCUUGAGAUGGCCUUGCGGUGCAUUAGCUAGUUGGUGAGGUAACGGCCCACCAAGGCGACGAUGCAUAGCCGACCUGAGAGGGUGAUCGGCCACACUGGGACUGAGACACGGCCCAGACUCCUACGGGAGGCAGCAGUAGGGAAUCUUCCACAAUGGACGAAAGUCUGAUGGAGCAACGCCGCGUGAGUGAUGAAGGUUUUCGGAUCGUAAAACUCUGUUGUAAGGGAAGAACACGUACGAGAGGGAAUGCUCGUACCUUGACGGUACCUUACGAGAAAGCCACGGCUAACUACGUGCCAGCAGCCGCGGUAAUACGUAGGUGGCAAGCGUUGUCCGGAAUUAUUGGGCGUAAAGCGCGCGCAGGCGGCCUUUUAAGUCUGAUGUGAAAGCCCCCGGCUCAACCGGGGAGGGCCAUUGGAAACUGGAAGGCUUGAGUACAGAAGAGAAGAGUGGAAUUCCACGUGUAGCGGUGAAAUGCGUAGAGAUGUGGAGGAACACCAGUGGCGAAGGCGACUCUUUGGUCUGUAACUGACGCUGAGGCGCGAAAGCGUGGGGGAGCAAACAGGAUUAGAUACCCUGGUAGUCCACGCCGUAAACGAUGAGUGCUAG
rnacentral:rRNA from 1 species